rnacentral:rRNA from 1 species
GCAGUCGCCACGGUAAUACAGAGGGUGCAAGCGUUAAUCGGAAUUACUGGGCGUAAAGCGCGCGUAGGUGGUUUGUUAAGUUGGAUGUGAAAUCCCCGGGCUCAACCUGGGAACUGCAUCCAAAACUGGCAAGCUAGAGUAUGGUAGAGGGUGGUGGAAUUUCCUGUGUAGCGGUGAAAUGCGUAGAUAUAGGAAGGAACACCAGUGGCGAAGGCGACCACCUGGACUGAUACUGACACUGAGGUACGAAAGCAUGGGGAGCAAACAGGAUUAGAUACCCCUGUAGUCCCUGUCUCUUAUAC